rnacentral:lncRNA from 1 species
UUGCUGGCUGGUUCUUUAGCUCUUCAUCUACCACAAUGAAUAUAAAGUUUAUGUACAUAGACCCACCUCUGCUGGCAGCAAUGGCUAUAGUUUCAAACAAGCAGAUAGAAAAACCCAUUAAAGUUGUGUUAUGUGGGAAAUGUGAAAGACAAAGCUUUCUCUUGAUUUGUUUUCUCAGAAUGUGUGUUUGGCAGAAGAUAUGCUAGGGAAAACAGAUGUAAAUAAAUGCGACUGUGGUGAAAAUUUUCAUUUAGACAUUUGACAGAGUUGGGGGAGAUUACAUAUUCUUUGGGUUACUAUGACAAUUGUAACAUAUAGGCUUAAAGGAUUAAAGAUUAAAUUAAUAAAGAGAACAAGGAAGUCUAUAAAUAUCUGGUCUUAUUGUAAUUGAGAUGGUUAACCAUAAAGCAAUGAAAGAAAACCCAUAGAAAACAUUUGGUUCGCAGUGGCAAAAAUGGUUAAAACUUACAUCGGUACAGGCAGGGAAGUUAAGACGAUAAAUACUUGUAGUACCAGUUCUAAUAACUCUAUUUAAUUGUGAACCAAAUACCUAGAUGCCAUUGCACAUAGGAUGUGAAUAUUAGUGGCCCACUUUAUCUGGGUCACUUGACCAUAAGCAGACAGUGGAAGAAUGGAAAUUGGCAUCAAAAAUUUAUUUUCUUUCCAUAUUACAAAACAGAAGAACUACUAGCCAGGUUAUAACCUAACUAAAUUGGUCAGUAAAGCCAAUCACAGUUUUAUAAAGUCUACACUAAAGCUGAAGAAGAUAAACUACAACUCGGCAGAAAAUUUACCAACAUGUCAGAGUUAAAUAAGGGGAAGAAAGUUGUAUGAUACAUACUGGUAACAGCUAACCUUAAUAAAAUUUGACACAGCAGUUGGGAUGCCCAGGCCACUGGUUCGGGUAUUAUUACGAGGGGCCACUGGGCAGUUUCUGCACAGGACUGGAGAGGAAACUUCUGCAGAACUGGGCCCUACACCCUUCUGGCCCUUGGCCUUUUCUGGGCCCUAACAGUGUUACCCAGGUACUGGAAAACUGGAGACCAGUUAAUUAAGUUCAAGGCCAAAGUCUUGGACAUCUUAGAUAAGCUGGCCUCCUAUUACUAAUUUUCCCUCAAUCUUUUUUCCCUCCAUGUUUCUCUGGGGCAUUCACUCCCCUACUCCUAUCCUCACCCAAGAUCUUACUCUUCUUCGUCUUUUCCACUAUGUCUCUGUACUUCAGACCCUUCUCACAGCAUUCCUAUUUUGUGGCUCCAACUAUGGCUGGUUUCUCAUGUAUAGACAUCUCUUGCCUUGUAGCCCUCCAGAUGAGUGUACUUCUCCCUGUUCACAGCAUCCCUCCUUCCCCACACCUUCUUUGAUACUGUUCUCUUAAUUCAUGAAUUAUUCUCCCUGUUGUGAAGCUCUCACUGAGCUUGCUCUAUCCUCUCCAUGCUCUGUUAUUGUAACAACCUCCACAUUUGAUCCGCCCCUUAUUCAGUCUUUUCUCCUCUCCAACUUCUCUCAACACCUGAGUGAAUUCUUUCAUUCAUAUAGGCAAUGCAUUUAACACCCUCUUUCCAAUUCUUUGAUCUCAAUGCCAGUGGCCUUCAUCACCACUCCACAUCAGUAAUUCUCAUCUACAUCAACACCUUGCUAUCAUGCAGACUAUGCAAUACCUGAGAUCUCAAGCUCCAUGACCCUUCUCUAUGGUGGCAUCUUCCUAUCCUUCCUACUCUCUGUCACUCCAACAGUAGGCACUCCUCAAACUUCUCAGUUUGUUAUAAACUGUGCAUAUUUGUGUCUGUACAAAUUCAUAGCUUCUAGUAUCCUUUGGGCUUCAAGAUCCCCUGCCACUUAUCAUUCUUUCUUUUCUGGUUAGUGCUUCCAUUUCCCUCAACAGCUCUGUCCCCUCUCCAAGGACUGUCUCUGUUAGUAGAUGGACGGCCCUAUUUAGCUACCUUAAAUCAUGUAUGGAACAUAAUGGUGUUUAAAUAUAAAUAGAUAGCCUUGGUUUCUACUUACGAGAAGUUUGAGAUUAAUUGGGAACUCUUUAAUUUCUUGUCUCCUCCCUGUCUGCAAACUUAUUUAUCUCUAUGUCCAUUCUCUAGACCCAAAGGAGACAUUAUCUUUCCUGUUCCACCCAUCUCAUCUGGAACCCUACUCUAUCAGCAUUCUGUCUUUUUUUCUGUAUCUUCAGCUUCUUUCUCUUUUCUCCUUCUCUUAGGCUGAACUGUGAUCAAGUUCUCCCAUUCUAGGAAAAACCAGGACAAAAUUUUUCUUUAUUGUGUGAUGCUUAUGGAUUUUUAGACAAUCUUUUUCUUCCCUCCAUUAUAGCUCAUUGUUUUUAUGCUGCAACAUCCUGUUUACUAAGCCCACUGCAACUUGACUUUGGCUGCUCAGAUACUGUUCAGACCAAGCUUGUUGGUGACUUCCACAUCGCCAGAUGCUCUGGGGAAUAUUCUAUCCUUGUGUUAGGUCACCUUCUCUGGAAUACUUCAUAUUUGGGGGCCCACUCCUAUUUUUAAGGCUCCCCCUCAUCUCCUUCUUCUUUACAUCAGUGGCAUAGUAUAUGGAUACACCACUGAUUGCUCACAUCUUUGUCUUGUAUUUGCCAUUCUCUCUUCUUGAGAUGUUUUUAUCUCCAUUCCCCUCUGUCUUCUCUACCUGGAGAAAUCUCAUUCAUCCUUCAAAUUCUAGCGUAGACAUCACCUCCUCUUUGCUGCCUUGGCAGAUUUAAUUUCUCAGCAUGAAUAUCUUACUACUAAGUAUGCUUUAGCUGAAGACAUCUUUCUCCAAAUUGGGUUUCCAAAAAUCUUUCAGUCACAAAGUCUCCUAUUUUAAGGUAGAAACAGAAGAAGAAAAGAUGAACGCUUACAUCUUAAUCUAAUAAAACCUCAUUUCAUGUAUCUUUCCAUUUGCUUAUGGAGGCAGUGUUGACACUGUAACUAGUCAUUCCUUCCUCUACUUCUCUAUCUUCUUUAUCUUUUCCCUCCAUUUUAAUGCAUUUUUAAUUAACAUUGACUCUGGCUAAUUAGCAUUGACUUCUAACAUUGAAGCUGGUUUAGCAGAAGUAUUUACAAUGUUUUGAAAACUCAAGCUAAAUUCUUAAUUUUUUCAGUCUGAGUUUUAAAAUGGUCUUUGGGUUUUUCUUUAACAAAUUGCAUGAUUUUUAAAAGACAUGGUUUUCCUUAUAGCAAACUACAUGCCUCUGUUAUGUAAGAGAAGCAUAGGAUUUGGGUAUAGGUUCAAAUGUAAACAUGUAAUUAUAUUAGACCAAAAAAAAAAAAAAAGAACAAUAUGGUCAUUUUGAAGGCCAAUGAUUAAGUCUCAAGUAUAAAUUACUAUUCAGUGCAACUGAAUAAUAUUUUAUCAAGCCCCUUGUGUUAGAUUUUAGUUUAUAAAUUUUCAGGAAAAAGUAUUAGGUAAAAAAAAUGGACUAUCAUGACACUGAAGUCCUGUGUAUAAUUGGGGUAGAAAGAUCUCUCCAGCUGUGCUUUUGGCUGUCUUAUGUUUUUCUGUUGCUUAUAUGUUAGUGGCACUGGUGUCACUGAUACUUCUGGGCCCCAUUGCCAUGCAGAUUGAUGGCAAAAACAUUUCUGGCCAAUAUGGCUUUUAGAUGUCGCCUGUCUAGACAUAGUCAGGAUUACUGGAAACCUGUCUCUUUUCUUUAUUUCAUGGAUACUUUACCCAUUUGCACUUAAACCUCAGUCUCUGGGGGAUGGACAUAUCUUUUCAGCUUUGAUAUUUCAUGGGCCUGAUAGGUUUUGUUUUAUGUUUUUAUAGUUAGCUAUAUUUGGCCCUGCUCUCUCUUCCUCAUAUCCUUACGAGUUAGUGAAGUAGGUUUACCCAGAAGGAUAUCCUAAAUAUUUUGCACAUUUUCAGUGUAAUAGGUAUAAUAAUUCUGAAACAACUCCUUUUUAUAAUCUUUUUUCAUAUUUCUUUCUCCCUACACUCCACCAUUAUUAUGGUUAGGGCAGGAGUGUAUAAUUUAAAUGCUACCUCUGGAGGAGGAGAGCAGAACAUGGGGGAGUUCUGUUCCAAUGGGAAGAAAGAGGAGGAAGCCCACUGCUCCUGGAUCCAGAGGGAUCAUCAAGAGAAUGAGUGGGUCAGAGGGAGAGUGAAGGAGUCGGUAUGUUCUUGAGAGGCCCUUCUGUGAAAGAUGCUCAAGGUGGGUGGUGGGGGGAUGCCACGUGGACUGAAAGUUGCUGUCUUCUCUCUGCAGUUAGGUCUUUCUGUAUAUCCAGAUACCAUUUUGAAGAAGAAUAAGAGGAAAUGUGAAAUAUUGUGUCUUUAAACCACACAAGGUGACGUGGUUAUCUAAAAUACCUGCUCAAACCAUAAUGGUCCUUUUGAGUUUACUAGAUUGGGCCAGAUUUAAUCCCCCUUACCUCUUCUGUCCUGGGUGCUGUGGGCUUGAGAGGAAGAUUAGUUCAAAUGUGAAAACAAAGAAAUUAAUUUUUCUUUGCACAUGAAUAUAUUUAAAUAUACUUGGGACCCUGUUAUAUAUAGAUGAGAAAACAUGUCUUUCUCUCCCUACAGCAUUGAGUCAAUGGUCAUGAAUGUAGGUUGUGGGUAUGGGACAGAAAGGUCUUGUCCCAAGAUGAAAUUGUUUAGCACACCCUGAAAAUGGAAAAUAGCUGCAUUAAUGUUAGGUGUGGGGAAAGUGUUUGGUAAAAGCAAGACCCCCUGAGUGACUUCUGUUUGGGGAUUGACCCUUGUUGGGGGAUGGUGUGAAAGUUUCUCUAGCCAUUUGUAUUGUCAGGCUGUUUGGAGACUGUGCUUGACUCUCCUACCUCCAUUCCAUACCAGCUGAUCAUUAGAGCCAAUUACUGUGUUUUUAGUUUCAUUGCUAGUAAUUGGUUGAGGAAUGGAUAAGCUUACACUUACUUCAGCCAAAGAAAGUCAAGGAAAAUCUUUCUUGGGACUCACAGAAAGAAGUUGUUCCCCUAAGAGAGAAUUGAUAGGUUAGCCUAAUGAUCUGGAUGGCAAAGUGGAGAGAUGAUGAAAUGGAGUCUCAGAUGAUGGGGUUGAACCAUUGGAUCAAUUGACCCCUGAAGUGUGCUUCACCUCUGGACUGCUUCUAGGAUGAGCUAAUGUAUUUCUUCAUAGUUAAAGUAACUUGGAGAUGAGAUUCAGUUAUUUGCAGUGCCAGACAACUUAACUGAGACAUAGGCCACUGGUACUUUUCUCCACGGCAAAGAAUGGAAUUAUUUAGAGAGACAAAACUUGUUUGAUCAUUGCUUUUAUACCAAGUGUAUAUUCUACAAGGUAUUUUCUAAAAAUCUAUUUUUAAUGCUCCCAGGUAGAUAAGAAAUUGAUUAGCUUAUUAGGAAUAUCUGAUUCCAUUCCUUAUUUUUCUAGUAACUAGGGGUGCAAGCAUUAGUUUCUUUAGGUUUGUUUCCUCACUUGUGAGAUGAAGGUGAUAGACAUGAAUCUCAUUGGUUCUUAGAGCUUAGUGUACAUUUUUAAAAAUGUGUGGGCAAAGUGCUUAAAAGGCAGAUUCUUGGGAACUUCCUCUAAAGAUUCUGAUUAAUUCUUAGCAAAUUAGUUCUAGAGCUAUUCUAAUGCAAGGUAGUUUAAGGAUCACACUGAGGAAAUCUGAACUAGAGACAUAAUAAGAUCCUUUAAAGUUAGCUCUAAGUCCAAUUUGUCUGACCCAUCAACAGUUCGUACCUAUACCAUUUCUUUACUUUAUUCUUUUCGUUGUGAAGAAACCGUGGGUUCUAACAAUGAAGCUUUAUUGGGAUGGAUGACUAAAUGUAGGAGGUUAUAGAAUCAUCCUGUAGGAAGGAACCACAAGAGGUCAAUGCAGCUCACCUUCUUGCUUCUGGGCUUGGCUCUAUCAAGUGCCCAGACAAAUGGGUAUCUGCUUCUGUCCACCGGGAUCUCAAGAAAGUGAUGCCAUAUCUAUCCUGGGUUGUUGAUUUAUGUGAGCGCUUUCUAAGCAGAUAAUUCAGGGAAUCAUAUAGUCUGACUAAUCGUAUGUUCACAUUUGUGGAUUUCAACAUAACCUGGUAUGGGUAUCUGAUUGUCAAAGAUUUGGGAAAUGAAAUAAAACACCUGAAACUAAUUUUGUCCUGAGUACCAUUUAAUCAUUGGAGAUUUGAAAAGGAAUUCUUGACCUCAUUAGAGGGAAUGCUUGAACUGGCAGUUUAAAGGAAGUCUGGUUAAAUUGACCUUCAUAAUUGAGAAAAUAUUAACUAAUGGAAGUUCUUCCUUAUAGGUGGUUUAAUUUCCUCCUUCUGCGAUUUAAGCUGGUUUUCUCUUACAUUCUUCUCUAUGGAGUGGGAAUAACUGUAAUUACCAUUCUCUCUAUAAUAAUCAUUCAUUCUUUUGAAGAGUUAUUAACUUUCCCUUCAGUCUUCUCUUUAUAAGGUUUAAAAAGUUCCACUUCUCUUAACCUAUGUUCCAUUUUUCAAAUAUUAGUAAUUUUCAUUAUGUGUCCUUGGACUUUUUCCAGAUUUUCCGCAUCUUUAAGCAAUAGUGUUGUAAAUAGUACUAAAAUAAUAGCUGUGGCCAUUAUAUAAGGUACAGUUUCCAAGUUUCCAUGCACUUUUUUUUUCUUUCUGUAGAGAGAACAGUGUAGUGGAUUCAAAUCCCAGGUCUGACACUUUGGCAGGUUAUUUAAACCCUGGCCCCAGUUUCCCUGUCUGUGAAAUGGGUAUAAUAAUAGUGCCUCUCUCAUAGGAUAUUUGGAGCAUUAAAUAAAUCUAUAUACAUAAAGAACUCAUGACUACACUUGGAAUAUGGCUAUUAUCAUAGAGUGGUAAGUCAUGGAAAAAAUGAGACUGCAGAAAGAAUAUUGGCUUUCCAAAAUAAAGCUAGUUUAAUUCAUGUAGAGACCACACUGUAUGUAAAUAGUAUAAGGUUUAUCAGCAAUGGAAGAAGAACUUGCAUUGUUUAUAGUGAAAACCCUUAAUGUUGCAUAUAUUGCUAGCUGUGAGGAAAAUGUUGCAAGAUACUUGGGUUUCAUGCUUUUCUCUGUUACUUAUUAAUAAUAGAGACUUGUCUUGGGACUUAGUGGAUGCAUCCAUAAAAUAAGAAUAACAAGCCUCAUCCUCCUGAACUACAUAAAGUUUUUAGUUUCUUUUGGAGGUCUAGUAUGUGAAUUUCUAAAACUAAGAUUUGGUUAUCAGAUGGUGGAAGAUGGGAGAAUAAAGCUGCAAAUCAUAACAGUAACAGUAUACUGAAAAAGAGGAAGAGAAGAUGAAAAUAAACAAGUCUCCUCUAAAUACCAAAAUUCAAUGGCAGAGCCUGAAUCCAGGUUGGUUUUAAAUGCAUGCUUUUCCAUCUUAUUUGUAGAUAAUAUGGUGUGGAGUUUUAGUGUAUAGACACUGGCAUUGACUUGAAUUUAGAUUAUGACUGGUGGACUAGUCAGGUUACUUGUCUUCUUUGGACUUCAAAUGCCUAUCUGUAAAAUGGGGAUAUGUGUGCCUAACUUACAGGGUUGUUUUAAGAAUAAGAAUGAAAUAAUACAUAUAAAAAUGAGAUAAUACUUAACAGAGUGGCAGUACAUUAUUAGUGCUCAAUAAAUGGUACCUGUUAUAAUAAUUAUGAUAGUUCUCUAUUUUGGAAGUAUCAGUAUUCAAAAUAAUUAACUCUUCUUGGUCUUUCUGAACAUGUGUGUUUCUGAAUGCUAUGCUGAUAGCUUACCUGUGGGAGCCUAAGGUUUUGGGGAGUGAAGGUUUAAGUGAUGAAGUAGGAACAGGGAAUGGGAUGGGAAUGUCUUCUUUCCAAAUCUGAACACACUUGUUCAAGUGAAGUGUUGGUGGAGGAUGAAGGGCAGCCCAGAGGAGAAGGGAGGUGGGGAAGGCAGAAUGGGAAGCCACAUAUGAUAAUGCAAACCACAUUUCCUGGCUUGACCACUUAGUUUUUUCCCCUUGGGAAAUUUUUACUGGUAUUUUGCCUUACUGCGAGUCUUUGCACUUCCUGUCAUGAACUGGUUAAGAAGAUAAUUAUACCAUGGUUAUGGGAAAUGGUAAUGAAAUACACCUCACUACACAGCAAGAGAACAAGACCUCUGCCAUUUGGGAGAGACUGAAAAAGCAAGCCCCCCCUUUUAAAAGUAACAAAUGUUACUUUUAAAAUUAUAAAGUAAUAUUAUCUUAUUUUAGAAAUUUUUGAAAAACACAGAAAUGGAAGGAUUAAUAAAAUGACAAGUGUACCCACCAUUCAGUAAUAAUUACUCUUAGCAUUUUUUCUUUUUAUCAAUCUCUGUGAUUGCAUAUGUAGUUAUGCAUAUAUUAUGUAUACAGUGUACAAUAUUUAACCGUUUUAUGCAAUAUUGAAACAAAACCUGAGUCAAAAUACACAUAUGUAAAAAUGUACAUACAUACAUAAUUUUUCAUCCUGCUUUAGGUCAUAUGGUAAAAAUUUCUUCAUAGAAUUACAUUUUUUUCUUUUUAAAAAAUAUUUAUUUAUUUAUUUUGAGAGAGAGAGAGAACAGGGGAAGGACAGAGAGAGAGGGUGAGAGAGAGAAUCUCAAGCAGGCUUCGUGUUGUCCAUGCAGACCUUGACGCAGGACUCUAUCUCACAAACUUUGAGAUCAUGACCUGAGCCAAAAUCAAGGGUUGGAUGCUCAACCAACUGAACCACCUGGCACCCCGAAUUACAUGUCUUUAAAGUGCAUAUUUUAUUUUGUGUUUGUAAUAUAAUUUAUGUAGCCAGAUUGGUAGUUAGUAUUUUUCCAUUUUUUAUAUUAUAAAUGAAACGGCAAACCCUUCCCUACAAAUUCCUAUGCUUAUCUGUGGUUAUUUCUUUGAGAUAAAUUUCUCUCCACAUAUUUUAGGUGUCCAUACAUGCUGUUAAGUUAACUUCUAGGAAGACGGUGGCAUGUUACAGGUUGCUAGCAGUGUAUAAAAGUUCCUAUUUUACUGUGUCAUCACCAAAUUAACAUACAUUUUUUUGAGACUUGGUUAGUUUGCUACAUAAUAAAGAGUUUCUCAUUGUUUCUGUAAUGUGUGUAUGUGUGUGCAUGUGUUGGGUUUUGGAAAAAAGAUGAGUUUGAAAGGAUUGUUGUCUAUUUGUAUUUCUUUCAUUUGUUAAUUUCUAUUAAUGUACUUUGCCCAUAAAUGGAAUAUUUUUACUUAUUUUCUUAUGAGUUUAUAUAUACACUUGCAUAUGUAUGUGUUUGUAUUUCUCUUAAGGUUGCAUCAUAAAUGUUACAUUUUCCCCUAGUUUUUUAAUUUGUAUUUGCAUUUUGUUUAUGUUAUUUGAUAUGACUUUUUCAAAUUUGGUAUAUUCAACUCAAUCAAUACUUCUCUUGGUGUUUUUAAUGCUUAGAAAUUCUGAGAUCAACAUAUUGCUUUUCUUUAAAAAUCAUUUUUAUAGUUUAUUUUUAUUUGUAAAAUAAAACCAUUUAAUCCACCUUGAAUUUAUUUUGGUAGAGGUAUAAGAUAUUAUACAAGUUAACAAUCUUUUCUUUUUGCAUAAAUUUAAAGCUUUCUUUUUGUUUUGUUUUGUUUUGUUUUGUUUUGUUUUGUUUUGUUUUGUUUCUUUUUGGUAAGAAACAAAGAUUUCCCUAAGCCAAGAAAGACUGCUGAAGCAGAGCAAUCUGUCUCCCAGCUGCUGCAGUCCAUGCGAGGUGGGACAGAAAGGGUCAAUCACUGGCCCCUGGAUCUGGAGGAGUCUUAAACCACGGGCCAGUGUUGCUAUAGCAGAGCUGGCCUGUUUCUGUAUUAAGAGAGGCAUUUAGACACUUAUGCUCUCAAGGUUCCUAGUAAAGUCAUAGAAGCAACAAUCUUCUGUUGAUUGAAUUUUAACUUAAUUUAAUUUAAUUUCCUUGGCAAUCACAGAUGGUGUCAUCCAGCAGCUAGAGGCUAAAAAGGGGCACUCUACAAACCGAAUGAAAACAUAUUGAGCUAUAAUCAGAAGCACAAGCAAAUGGAAGCAAAAGUGUGAUUAUCAACAGUGAGUUGCAGUGUGUAUUCUCAGUAUAGCAAAAGGCCAAAUUGUUUUCCAAGUGCUUUGUGCAAGUUUAAACAGUAACAGUGUAACAGUGAUGUCACCUAGGAAGAUUCUUCUCAGGGUUAGCAUCUGCAAGAGAGGGUUCAAAAAUGUUAAAACUGAUGAAGAAAAGGUAUUACCCUGUUCUUAAAUGAGUAGAAUCAAUAGAGUUAAAAUUGCAUUUGAUUGGAAGCAAGAGAAAAAUUUUUAGUCGAGAGUAGAAUUUUAUCUCAGUCUAAAUCACAGAAGGACAAACACCUUGGCUUCAUUGAUUGUGCUUUGUCUUAUGAAAAUAUUUAUUGCAAAAAUUACCAUUUUUUGAUGUUUGGUAUUUCAUGUUGCCUGAAAUUACAAGGCUCUCUGUGUCUGAUGAAGAGAUAAGGAUGGACAGUAAGCAUCUCAUGCAGGAAGAAAGCACGUGUACUCCACUGUGUUAUACAGGAGAGUCAGACAGGAGGGUGUUCUGAAUCAUGUUAGGACCUCUGCCUCCAGAUGUGUUAUUUAUCCACCCAGUUAACAGCCAUUUCCUGUAAUCAGUAAAAGCUGAUCAAUCGUCCCUGAUGAAGUUGGAGCCAAGAGGUUUCUGGCCAGGGAAAUGUCUGUGUCGUUUCUAAUCUACCCACACAGCGGACUGGUAGGAAAGUAGCUACAAUCUUCUGGAAAAUAAAACUAAGCUCUCUCCCCAGCUGUUGUGGUCCUUUUUGUGACAGGGUGUGGAAGCUCAGGCCUGGGCCAUUUUCUGAUGUAACACUGAUAUGAUGAUACUCCUUCUGUCAGUUUUUGCUAUAGAUUUGGAUGUUUUAAGCCAUAUUCACUGGGAUAUGAACUCACCAUUGUUCAUUUUUUUCCAAUUUUGGUGAAUAAAUGGUAUGCUUUCACAAAAAUUUGUUAAGACGUAACCCAGAUAAGCAAGUGGAUCUGAAGGUGGCUGUCAAAUAUCCCCCUUUUUAAAAUAGAAAACCGGCACUUUGAAAUGCUCAAAUUGUACUAUUUUCUAUACCCUUGUAACAGGUCAGGUGCCAAAGCUUGAUGAACGAGAUAGAAUUGCACAAUGGGAUCAAAGGGACAGCCAGCCCAGUUUAUUUCCAGAGGAAAAGCUUACCAGUACACAAAGGAGAAAAAAGAACUCGGCUUGAAACCAAUUCUUUCCUGAAGUGCAAAUAUAAGAGAAAGGACAUCACCAGGAGCAGUUAUCUCUGUGGUUAUAGUAGUUGUGUAUGGCAGGUCUGCUUGUGAAGAAGUAAAUUAUUUGAUGAACCAGGGAAUCAUAAGCAGUUCAUCUGGAUGAAAAGAAAACUCUUACCAAGACUAUAUCUUUAAAAAUUAUCUGGAUAAUUCAGGUGAAAGCAGCCUUUUCUCUCUUCUGAAUUAUUUAGGUAAUUGAUUAUGCCCAUCUGCUCCUCUUCAGAGAACUCGAGGACCAAAUGCUUUUUUGGCAUCUCCUUUUCUAUUCUUCUCUUUUAUAUGACUUA